rnacentral:rRNA from 1 species
AUUGAAAGCUGGCGGCAGGCCUAACACAUGCAAGUCGAGCGAGAGGCAGACGGGUGAGUAAUGCCUAGGAAUAUGCCUGGUAGUGGGGGAUAACGUAAGGAAACGGGCGCUGAUACCGCAUACUAUCAGAUGAGCCUAGGGCGGAUUAGCUAGGUGGUGGGGUAAAGGCCUACAAAGGCGACGAUCCCUAGCUGGUCUGAGAGGAUGACCAGCCAAACUGGAACUUAGACACGGUCCAGACUCCUACGGGAGGCAGCAGUGGGGAAUAUUGCACAAUGGGCGCAAGCCUGAUGCAGCCAUGCCGCGUGUAUGAAGAAGGCCUUCGGGUUGUAAAGUACUUUCAGCGGGGAGGCGUUACCCGCAGAAGAAGCACCGGCUAACUCCGUGCCAGCAGCCGCGGUAAUAC